rnacentral:rRNA from 1 species
UACGAAGGGGGCGAGCGUUGUUCGGAUUUACUGGGCGUAAAGGGUGCGCAGGCGGCCCUUCAAGUCCGGCGUGAAAUCUCCAGGCUCAACCUGGAGGGGUCAUUCGAUACUGCCGUGACUAGAGGUCGGUAGGGGAGUGUGGAAUUCCUGGUGGAGCGGUGAAAUGCGCAGAUAUCAGGAGGAACACCCGUAGCGAAGGCGGCACUCUGGGCCGAUACUGACACUGAGGAGCGAAAGCGUGGGGAGCGAACAGG